UACGUAGGGCGCAAGCGUUAUCCGGAAUUAUUGGGCGUAAAGAGCUCGUAGGCGGUGUGUCGCGUCGGCCGUGAAAACCUGCAGCUUAACUGUGGGCGUGCGGUCGAUACGGGCAUCACUGGAGUUCGGCAGGGGAGACUGGAAUUCCUGGUGUAGCGGUGAAAUGCGCAGAUAUCAGGGGGAACACCGGUGGCGAAGGCGGGUCUCUGGGGCCACUACUGACGCUGAGAAGCGAAAGCGUGGGGAGCAAACAGG
rnacentral:rRNA from 1 species